GACGAACGCUGGCGGCGUGCUUAACACAUGCAAGUCGAACGGAAAGGCCCUGCUUUUGUGGGGUGCUCGAGUGGCGAACGGGUGAGUAACACGUGAGUAACCUGCCCUUGACUUUGGGAUAACUUCAGGAAACUGGGGCUAAUACCGGAUAGGAGCUCCUGCUGCAUGGUGGGGGUUGGAAAGUUUCGGCGGUUGGGGAUGGACUCGCGGCUUAUCAGCUUGUUGGUGGGGUAGUGGCUUACCAAGGCUUUGACGGGUAGCCGGCCUGAGAGGGUGACCGGCCACAUUGGGACGGAGAUAGGGCCCAGACCCCUACGGGGGGCAGCAGGGGGGAAUAUGUCACAAUGGGCGGAGCCCUGAUGCAGAAACGCCGGGUGGGGGAUGACGGCCUUCGGGUGGUAAACCGCUUUCGCCUGUGACGAAGCGUGGGUGCCGGUAAUGGGUAAAGAAGCACCGGCUAACUACGU
rnacentral:rRNA from 1 species